rnacentral:rRNA from 1 species
UGGCGGCAUGCCUAACACAUGCAAGUCGAACGAAGUGCCUUCGGGUGCUUAGUGGCGCACGGGUGCGUAACGCGUGGGAAUCUGCCCCUUGGUUCGGAAUAACAGUUGGAAACGACUGCUAAUACCGGAUGAUGACGUAAGUCCAAAGAUUUAUCGCCGAGGGAUGAGCCCGCGUAGGAUUAGGUAGUUGGUGUGGUAAAGGCGCACCAAGCCGACGAUCCUUAGCUGGUCUGAGAGGAUGAUCAGCCACACUGGGACUGAGACACGGCCCAGACUCCUACGGGAGGCAGCAGUGGGGAAUAUUGGACAAUGGGCGAAAGCCUGAUCCAGCAAUGCCGCGUGAGUGAUGAAGGCCUUAGGGUUGUAAAGCUCUUUUACCCGGGAUGAUAAUGACAGUACCGGGAGAAUAA